rnacentral:rRNA from 1 species
GGGCCGGAGUUCAACACUAGUGUGUCUGCAUGGCUGUCGUCAGCUCGUGUCGUGAGAUGUUGGGUUAAGUCCCGCAACGAGGGCAACCCUCGUCUCCAGUUGCCAUCAGGUAAUGCUGGGCACUUUGGAGAAACUGCCGGUGACAAGCCGGAGGAAGGUGGGGAUGACGUCAAGUCCUCAUGGCCCUUACGGGCUGGGCUACACACGUGCUACAAUGGCGGUGACAAUGGGAUGCAAUGGCGCGAGCCGGAGCCGAUCCUAAAAAAC